rnacentral:lncRNA from 1 species
AUAUAUAUAUAUGUUCUGACUAGUCUAGUGCACAUGUUUUGCAUGCGAAUUUUUCUGCAAGGCCAGCAUUAGAGUCAAACUAAUAAGAGAACCUUCAUUUAGUUCUGUUUUGAGCACAACAAUUUACUCUUGGUUUAUGAUUUUUGUUAAGAGGAAGCCAAUAAGAGAACCUUCAUGGUAUAUGACUGUUUGCUUUGGUACUAGAUUGAUGAAGAACCACAACAAAUAAUAGAACAAUGCUCUUAAUCUGAUUUCACUCUCAAUAAUCCAAAAUAUCUAAUGACAAACAGCACCUACUGUAACAACAAAGUCAAAUACAAAAAAUAAACUAAAUACUUUAAAUACCCAAAAUAACCAAAUAAAUUACUAUAAAUUUCUUCCUAAAUUCAGAAGCCUAAACUCUUUAACAAACAGUGUAGCACCACCAGGUUAGAGAAGGAGCUAAAACAUAAUGCUUCAAUUCCGCUCUUGCCUCCAUUAGUAUUUCCUUUUACACGAAAGAUAAUCCACUUUAGAAUAUAACACAGUUAGCAUAGCAUAAAAAGUAAGUUCCAAAUUAGCUCUUAGUUACAGUUUAUGCUAUAAGUCCACCCAAGUACUGUAAAAAAUAAAUAAGAAAGCUAUUGAUCAUUGAUCAGUAAAUCAGCCAAGUUCACAGUUCACUUACUUUCCAUGGGCAGUUUCUCCAGAAAGCAUGACCGCAUCAGAAGAAUUUGAAAGGAAUUAAGGAGAUUUUUAGUAACAAGUAUAAAGUCUAUUUUCUUAGCUGUGUUAGAUUUUGUCUUAGCAUGCUGUCUAUAUUGUUUGUAGUGUUAGGACAUUUAACAAGAUACCCCAAACAAGAAAGUUACACAACCAACACUUUUCUCAAUAGUGACUCAAUACUCUUUAUAGAAAAAAUUUACUUACCUUUUACAGUUGCUGACAAGAACUGAGGAAGACUGAGGACUGAGGACUGAGGAAGACAAAGGACUGAGGACAACCAAGUUGCUGAUGGUGCGGAGAGCCGAUGGACUGAAGAGCAACGGCUGACGAUUCCGUGGAGAGCGACGACAGACAUCGACGAUUGUGUGGAGAGAGAGACUAGAAAGCGACAGUGAGGUGAGGAGGAGUCGGCGUUGCUAAGUCGCGCAUCCGCAACGUAGUGAAGAUCGAUGACCUAAGUUAGCGCGAUGGUUAAUCGGUCGAUGUCGGGAGGAGAGUCGAGGUUGGACGGUGGACAGUGG